AAUAAGAAAGAAAAGAAAGUGGUACAUUUCCGUGUGCCGCUUAGGCCGCCCAUUGUGAUUCGCUUGUGGACGUGAUGGUAGCAUAUAGCAGCAUGUUCUACUGUGCAUCAAUAAUUCAGCGUAACAAGUUUGUAUGAAGGUCUGGUUAUUAAAUGGGUACAUAGUUCAAUAGUAAUAUCCUUUAAAACGCUCUGGUGUCAAACAUAUUUUGCAGCCCUGUUUCCAAUUGGCCACAUGGCUGGGAGAACCUAUUAAAGUAAGUAAAUACAUUUCGAAAAUGUAAAAAAAAUGUUUUAUUAGCUAACUAGCUACAGUGCAGGCUAACUCAAAUGAACUGCUAACGUUAGUUGGCUAGCUAGCUACCUAGCCAACUUCACAUACUAUAUAGCUAGCUAAGUGAAUGAAAUAUCACCACCUGUAUUUAUCACUGUAAAAAACAAACUCCAAAUGCAUUUGUAGGUAGCUAGCUAACAACCAUGGAGGAGGGUGAAAGGAUAGCAGCCCCAACUGUCAGUGAGAGAGCAGGCUAUUCUGUAUAGGACAGGUACUUUUGUGUAGUUCCUGUCCCUAAAAGUGAGGAUGGAGAUAAUAUUAACUUAAUAUUCAGUGCGGUCUAAUUUGACUAUAAUGAAGUCUGUUUCUUGUGAGGUUUUCUGUCCUCAGAUAAAGAGAGCUAUGAAAGCCUGUAUACACAUGAAGAGCAGUGGUUCUCAGUCCUGGUCCUGGAGACUCAGAGGGCACUGCAAGGUUGGGUGACCAGGGCCACCUGGACCUGCCUUCUGGAGGAAUUCAGGUGUGUGAUGGCUACCUGUGUUCUGCAUAACUUCAUGAGGAUGGACACGAGGACCAGGAGGGGAUCUGCAGCUCGCCGCUGUGUGCCAGAGGAGAAGUCUGCAGGAUGUUUCAAGGAUGGGGUCCAACAACGCAGCAAGAGAGGCAAUCCGUGUGCAGGAGGUCUUCACUUCCUACUUCUUCGAAGAGGGAGUUGUUCCCUGGCAACACCAUAGACUACACUAUGCACAACCAAAGGCUUUUUAAGAGCCAUUCACAUUGCAAUAAGAGUAUUUUUCCAUUUACUUAGCUAAGUCAACUGCAGUUAUUCAAUUCCCAGUUUCUCUCCCUUUGAUUUCUACUUCUCAGGUGAGGGUACUGUUUAGGUAAGGGUGUGGUGUCUGUACAAAAACAAAACAAGCUAUUUUUUUUUUUUUUUUUUAAAUCAAUAUGGGUAUUCGAAACCCUAUAACCCACAUCUACACACAUGUAUCAAUCUGAUUGAUGGAUUGUGUUGUACCAGGCUCAGGUGUAUAACUGUGGCUCCUUCCACCUUCAAAGAAUGGGCAAAAGAGCCAACCAUGGAGAAUAGCAAGACACUUGACUAUUUCUAUAACUAUGCUAUAUUGUUUGUCCUCGUGUGUUCGUUCAUGUUUUUCAGCAUAAAGUACUCUGCAGCCACUUAGUGUGGUGUGGACACCAGGUGAGGCGACACACACAGAUUCCUGUUGAACACUGUCCCUUUAACUACCUUAAUUUCUCAAUAAGUCUCUCCUUCACUUCAUCCCCCUCUCCUCUUCUCCCUAAAUCCUCUAGGUUAUAUCAGCUGUGUCGGUGAACCCCUCCUGCAUCUGAACUGGCUACAUCGAGGGCACAGCAUGAUAAGAGAUGUUUUGAUGUGAGAGGAUGCCAACCCCCAGUCCCAUCAUCGCUACCUCAUCCGCUUUUAAGAUAACCUUCGGGCUGACUAGAGACACUUAUGUAAUUGUGAUGAACUGAGAGAAUAUUUGGGUUGCACUGUGAUUCAUUAAUCAUAGGAGCAGGGGAAGGCAGCAUAUGUUCUUACCUCUUUCCCUUUUACACCUCUCUUGCCACCUUUCUUCCUCUGUUAUUAUAAUGCAUAACAGAUAUGCAUUGAAGUACAGAUUGAACUUGUAUUGAUAACACUUGGAUAAUGAACUGCUUUCAAUAAAGUGUUUCAAA